CAGCCGCCGCGGUAAUACGUAGGUGGCGAGCGUUAUCCGGAAUUAUUGGGCGUAAAGGGUGCGUAGGCGGCCUGAAAAGUCUGUGGUGAAAUCGUGGGGCUCAACCCCAUCAAGCCCCAGAAACUAUCAGGCUGGAGAACAGCAGAGGCAAGCGGAAUUCCAUGUGUAGCGGUAAAAUGCGUAGAUAUAUGGAGGAACACCGGUGGCGAAGGCGGCUUGCUGGGCUGUUACUGACGCUGAGGCACGAAAGCGUGGGGAGCAAAUAGGAUUAGAUACCCUAGUAGUCCACGCCGUAAACGAUGAAUACUAAGUGUUGGAGAAAUUCAGUGCUGCAGUUAACGCAAUAAGUAUUCCGCCUGGGGAGUACGCACGCAAGUGUGAAACUCAAAGGAAUUGACGGGGACCCGCACAAGCGGUGGAUUAUGUGGUUUAAUUCGAUGCAACGCGAAGAACCUUACCAAGCCUUGACAUCCGAGGCGAAGCUCUGGAGACAGAGCGGAGGCUAUCCGAAGGACAGGUGGUGCAUGGCC
rnacentral:rRNA from 1 species